rnacentral:tRNA from 1 species
AUCUAUUUAGUGUAGUGGUAACACAUCAGAUUCCAAACCUGAUAACGUGGGUUCGAUUCCUACAAUGGAUG